GACGAACCGUGCGAACGUUAUUCGGAAUCACUGGGCUUAAAGCGCGUGUAGGCGGGUGACCGCGUCGGUCGCUGAAAGCCCCCGGCUCAACCGGGGGACCGGCGCCGAUACGGGUCGCCUGGAGGGGCGUAGGGGGACCUGGAACUUCCGGUGGAGCGGUGAAAUGCGUAGAUAUCGGGAGGAACACCAGUGGCGAAGGCGACUUCCUGGACCGGCAUUGACGCUGAGGCGCGAAAGCCAGGGGAGCAAACGGG
rnacentral:rRNA from 1 species